UACAGAGGGUGCGAGCGUUAAUCGGAAUUACUGGGCGUAAAGCGCGCGUAGGCGGCUUUGCAAGUCGGGAGUGAAAUCCCCAGGCUUAACCUGGGAACUGCAUUCGAGACUGCAUUGCUAGAGUAUGGGAGAGGGAAGUGGAAUUUCCGGUGUAGCGGUGAAAUGCGUAGAUAUCGGAAGGAACAUCAGUGGCGAAAGCGACUUCCUGGACCAAUACUGACGCUCAUGUGCGAAAGCGUGGGGAGCAAACAGG
rnacentral:rRNA from 1 species